UACAGAGGUCUCAAGCGUUGUUCGGAUUCAUUGGGCGUAAAGGGUGCGUAGGCGGCGCGGUAAGUCGGGUGUGAAAUUUCGGAGCUUAACUCCGAAACUGCAUUCGAUACUGCCGUGCUUGAGGACUGGAGAGGAGACUGGAAUUUACGGUGUAGCAGUGAAAUGCGUAGAUAUCGUAAGGAAGACCAGUGGCGAAGGCGAAUCUCUGGACAGUUACUGACACUGAGGCACGAAGGCCAGGGGAGCAAACGGG
rnacentral:rRNA from 1 species